CCUACGGGAGGCAGCAGGGGGGAAUAUUGGACUAUGGGCGCAAGCCUGAUCCAGCAAUGCCGCGUGAGUGAUGAAGGCCUUCGGGUUGUAAAGCUCUUUUACCUACGACGAUGAUGACGGUAGUAGGAGAAUAAGCCCCGGCUAACUUCGUGCCAGCAGCCGCGGUAAU
rnacentral:rRNA from 1 species